rnacentral:misc_RNA from 1 species
GAUGAAGAACGCAGCGAAAUGCGAUAAGUAAUGCGAAUUGCAGAAUUCAGUGAGUCAUCGAAUCUUUGAACGCACAUUGCGCCCCUUGGCAUUCCGAGGGGCACACCUGUUCGAGCGUCAUUUCACCACUCAAGCCUCGCUUGGUAUUGGGCAACGCGGUCCGCCGCGUGCCUCAAAUCGACCGGCUGGGUCUUCUGUCCCCUAAGCGUUGUGGAAACUAUUCGCUAAAGGGUGUUCGGGAGGCUACGCCGUAAAACAACCCCAUUUCUAAGGUUGACCUCGGAUCAGGUAGGGAUACCCGCUGAACUUAAGCAUAUCAAUAAGCGGAGGA